UGAUAUGUUUGGGUUACAAGGUGGUGUGUAUCUGCAAAUUCUGUUUGAAAUCAUCUAGUAACAAAACAUAUCUGU
rnacentral:pre_miRNA from 1 species